rnacentral:rRNA from 1 species
CGCACAGACGGUGCGGGCGCCGCUGUGUAGUGUGGGGUGGUAGCGGUAAUCGGAGAUUAUGGGCCUAAUGAGUUCGCAUUCGGUUUGGUAAGACAGGCGUGAAAGCCCCGUGCUGAACCUGGUAACUUCGCUUUUGACUGGCAGGCUAGAUUACGGCAGAGGGGGGUGGAAUUCCACGUGUAGCAGUGAAAUGCGUAGAGAUGUGGAGGAACACCAAUGGCGAAGGCAGCCCCCUGGGUCGAUACUGACGCUCAUGCACGAAAGCGUGGGUAGCAAACAGGAUUAGAUACCCUAGUAGUC